CUGAAAACUCCCAGCAGCCAGCUAUGUAUGAAAGGUGGGGGCGGGACCACCGGCAGGGUGGGGCCUGAAGAGCCAUAUGCCUGGGCUCCCACAUCACAAUGGGAACGGGGCACGUGGAGCGUACUCUGGGCCUGAUUGGUUCCUGGGAACCAAGACAGAGUUCCCCUUGUUGGCAGGGCAACCUCCUUCAGUUGCUGGGAAGCAGUGGAAGGAGGAGGAGCUCCCUCUGUGCUCUCUUCUCUGCAAUCACAGCUCUGAGCUGGUUCUUUUUUUUUUUCACUGCGGAGAUAUUGCCAAAGCAGGACAUAGAAGAUUCACAUAAAAAGCACAUCUGCGUGGAGAAGGAGUGCCAUGUGACUCAGAUAACGAAGAAUAAGAUAACUCCAGACAAACUUCAUAAAGAACAAACAAAAUCAGCCUUAUCAAGAAAAAGGCCCAGAUGCCCUAACGAUCAGCCCAGUAUGGAGCCUACAGGAGUGUGAACAGAACCAUUUGGC
rnacentral:lncRNA from 1 species